UUUUACAGUAAGUAGGCGAUAAUUGAAGAGAGUUCAAUUUCAAAUUGUACCUAUUCUUGCUAAUUUUUCCUCCUUGAACUGCAGAAAGCUCGAAUUUUGAGUCUUCAAGGUAGGCUUCCACUGGAGUUGGUGAACCUUCCCUAUCUAGAAGAAAUGUACUGUUCAUGUGCCUUCAGCAACGGUCGUUCCUUAGAAGCGUUACACAAGAUGGAACGGGAGUUCCAGGUGUGUGAGGAUUUCGCGGUUUGGCAUGGCAUCGUGUAUCUGUGUUUGGAUGCUCUAUUGGCUGAAUCCUAACACCUACCCUGCGUCCAAAUAAGAAUAUUAUCAAAUUUAAAUAAGAAAAAAGUUGAAGACAUAAAAGACCCAUUUCUCACCCGUAUCUAAUUCCCUAUCUCUCUAAUCCGGUCUCUUUCAUUUCUCCGGUUCUCCCCUUCAAUCUUAGCCUGAAUCAAGUGAAUCCGACAUGAAUCAACCCUUUCCAACGGUUACCGACUGAAAUUUCCCGACCCGGCAACCUUCGCUUAGUUUCUCUCAAUUUUACUCGCCACAACAGUUCUCCGGUUCCAGUUAACGGCUGACGGAAAGUUCCUGUGGACGGAGGGAUUUCAACAGAAGGAGAUUCUCCGUUUCACUGUGGACAGUAAUAAAAUUAAAAUCAGAGCAAUUAUAGAGAAAGAAGAUGGAAUCUACCGUGGUGGGAGAAGUGAUGGUUUAGUGAGGAAGGAUUUUGUUUUCUGCUUCUUUCACGAGAGUCUCGAAGACUAUUGUGCCAAAACCUCCGUGAAUAUCUUGAUUUGAAAUUAUCUGAAGCUCCUUUUGGCUUGCGAAUUGGUUUGAUCUUGAAGCUGCAGGCAUUGAUAGUUAGAAGUUGCAAGCAUGAAGGGACUUUGUGGGUUUUGGUGAAUCUGUUAAAAGAAAUCCCAAUGUUGAAAGAGAUGUUAUAGUUGGAGUUUUAGAGAUUGGAAUCUGGCCUGAAUCAGAAAGUUUCAUUGACGAAGGUUUCAUCUUGCUCCCAAGAAGUGAAAAGGUUCUUGUGAAGGUGGCAAAAAACUCACUUGCAACAAGUAAUGUGAGUUGAACAUUGUGGUAAGGAGAAGUCUUCUUGGGUAGAUUUGAGUUUCAUGUGAAUUUACGCUUAGUUUUUUUGUUUCCCUUGUAUGUAGUAUUGUCUAUGUAAUAUGAUUGCUGGUAUAAUUUGUUCUUGCAGCUCAAAUACAGAAUCCAGACAUCUAUUAGAAGCAUCUUUUUGCUCA